GACGAACGCUGGCGGCGUGCCUAAUACAUGCAAGUCGAACGAGUGGCGGACGGGUGAGUAAUGUCUGGGAAACUGCUCGAUUGAGGGGGAUAACUACUGGAAACAGUAGCUAAUACCGCAUACCAUCGGAUGUGCCCAGAUGGGAUUAGCUAGUAGGUGGGGUAACGGCUCACCUAGGCGACGAUCCCUAGCUGGUCUGAGAGGUUGACCAGCCACACUGGUACUGAGACACGGUCCAGACUGCUACGGGAGGCAGGAGUGGGGAAUAUUGCACAAUGGGGGAAACCCUGAUGCAGCAACGCCGCGUGCGGGAUGACGGCCUUCGGGUUGUAAACCGCUUUCGGCCAUGACGCGGUAGUGGCAGAAGAAGCACCGGCUAACUACGUGCCAGCAGCCGCGGUAAUAC
rnacentral:rRNA from 1 species